rnacentral:lncRNA from 1 species
CCCCUGGAUUCCUUUAACGGAAUUCCCUUUCCGCAUCAUUUGGAGGGAUAGGCACUUACCCCUCCAAGCACCAAUUUAACCAAUGCCUAACCGCCAUGGAGCCCACAGCUCACCGCCAAACCACUCACAGACCCAACCAAGCCCUCAGCUUGGCCACCACUGCACCCAGCCAAGCCUCAUUCCCUGAGGCAGAAAGAUGCGCGCCAUCAGCUCUGAAAAAGGAUGCAGCCUGAAAAAGAAUCUCAGGAUGGGAAAUCACAUCUCCACCCAGCUCAAAAAUCUUUUUAGACACAGCAGAAUUGAUGCGCUUCCUGGCCCUUUCAGUGGCAGCUGGGCAACGACUACCCUUCCAAACACGUCGUUGCAAAAGCUUUGACCAAAAUAUUUUUGCUGUCGGCACCACUGCCCGCAGCUUCUCCAGGUCACCCAAAAUUGCAGCACGUAGUGAAAAACAGUCCAUGGAAACCAGGUCGUUCUCACCCAGCUGCACCCCAACAGCAGUGGGCGGCCCUUCCAGCAGCACCUGCCUCCGAAUCAGCGGCAGGAAUUCUGGCUGGCGCAUUCCCCGUCUGGACAGCCAAAGCAACUGCACAUGUGGAGGAAGGCCGAGACCCGGUCCCAAACCGGACUGCCGUGCACUGAUGCUGUGCCCCACCAUCCAGAUGCGGACAGCUGCUAAACCUAAGAUAAAACAAGCAAAAAUUGUAAGACACCAAUAAUGUUAACGAACAUAACCUUUGAAUGCAUUCGAUUUCCAGUGACCUGUAUUUUAUUUCCACUGCCUUAUUAACACGCUUUCCGGCCUUCUCGGUGGUAGUUUGUCUAGGCAUUGGUUCCCGACUAGCUGCACCUGACCUCAGCAGGGCAGCACUGACGACUGGGCCCCACCAUAUCGUCAGUACCAGCAAACAUUGUGGGGGAGCAAUGAAUCCCAAGGCAAUCGCAUCCCGCCAGGUGUCGUUCCACAUAGGGGAAAGAUGCACCCCAUCUGCCCUAAAGAGAGCAACAGCCUUGAAGAAAAAUAGCAGGGUGCAAUAUUACAGAACCACCUAAAGCAAGGACCUAUUUUAUUUUAUUUGUUAUUUUAUUUUAUUUACUUUAUUUAUUUUAUUCUAUUGUCCACCGCCUUAUUAACAUGCUUUCUGGCCUGCUCGGUGGUAGUUUGUCUAGGCAUAGGUUCCUGACUGGCUGCACCUGACCUCAGCAGGGCAGCACUGACGACUGGGCCCCACCAUAUCGUCAGUACCAGUAAACAGCGUGGGGGAGCAAUGAACCAGGAUCAGACUCAAGCUCACCCCCAAAUGCUCCCAGGGACUCUUGCGUGCCCCUACCCCUCGAAAGGGGUCGACAAGAGCAUGGUGAAUCCUUGGAUUCCCUUAAUGGAAUAUCUUUGCGCAUUGGAGGGGACAGGUGCUCCAACCCCCCCUCCAGACCACCUUGAACCAAUGCCUUAAAUUAUUUUGAGUCCUGGGAGAGCUGCCAUCAACUCAAUCCAAGCCCUCUUGCAUGCAGGAAUGCAAACUUAUGCUGGAGGAAGACAGCAAACAUUCUCGCCCAGCUGUACCACCAGCACUGCAGGAGGACCUGCACAGGUCACAUUCGACCGCACCAAAGGAAGGAUCUCCUCCCAAAGCAUUCCCAUCUGGACAUCCAGUGUAUGUUCACAUGGGCAGGAAGACUGAGAUGGCGCCCCAGUCCAAACUCGUCAACCUGCUUGCCAGCCUAGUGUACAAUGCUGUGGCCCAAAUGUGCACAGCUGCUCCUAUGAAAAAAGGAAAUAACAGACAAGCAUCAGCACAGACAUCAUUGUGACACUUCCUGAUAUAACCCUUGUCAGCGUCAGACUUCCAAUGACCCGUAUUCAAAAUCCUGUCUACUGACAGGCCCCCAGUGUGCAGCCUUUGCAGCAGCACCCAAUCGUAAGGAAUGAGGCGUGUUCAGCGGUAAGCAAGCCGCAGGCCGUAAUAACUGGUGCACGACGUAAGCACAUUGAUGCCUGGCUAACGGGAACCCAUUUUCAUGCACUAGGAGCGGGCCAGCCCCCAGGGAAUGAAAAGCCAAAUAUUCUGUUAUCCAUAACCGGGCAAGGGCCCUCCUCACCUGUGGCGGGAAGCCUGAUUGUGGCACUCCUGCCCACUAAGUCUGUUUUAGAGUUCCCAACUCUAAUGACAAGCUCCAAAGGAUAAGGAAAAGUCCUGAAGCAAUAAGCCUCCAGACUCUCAGCCCCAUGCUGGCUCCAACAACCAUUUUCCCAAGCCUCAGUGCGAAAAUGCAAUGGACUACUGAAAGGAGUCUCGCCUUGAUCUUUAACCAGCAGACAAGUUUUAACUUGUUGCAGAUACUGCAUAAGUAAAAAUUGACCGGCUUCCUGCCCACUGUCCUAUGAGGUUGGAGCCUAUUCCAACCUUCCAAGGCCAUGCGCACUACAAACUUUAUACAAGGGUCUCUGAAAAAUAAAGCUUCAGUGUAACAGACAUUGCAGCGGACUGAAUUCUGAUAGUUAUAACGCACGCCCAAUCUGCAGCAGGUGGACCAAAUACUGCGGAUCUGCUCAGAGGAUGGGGGCCAGUUCAUCUGAAUGGCCAAGGACUGCCAGCUUAAGGCUAAGAAAUCCAUCCAGGCCUUCUCAUAAGAGCUAAAAGCAGAAGGGGAAAUGGAAGCUGCUGCUCUCUGUAAUUACUAAUUGUUGUCAAAAUGCCACAGGUGGUCUGGAAAAGUCUGGCAAUAGCUGAGUCUGGAGCCCAGGAUCUGAAGCACUUCAUCUGAAAAUGGGAUAGAGUGUCAGCGACAUCAUUAGAGGAUCCUGUAAUUUGGAGAGUAGAAAGCACAAUAUUAAACCUUAAGCGGCGCGGCUCGAAAGCAUGAACAGAGGGGCGGAGACUGUGCUAGAGCGUGAGGACUGUUUUGCUAAGACGCUCACCACUACCUGGUUAUCAGACCAAAAGCAGAUCCAAUGGUCACUGAACUCCUCGGGCCACAUGUGAACUGCUACUACAAUGGGGAAAACUCAAGAAAAGUUAUGUCACAUGAUUGCCUCACCACACCGGGCUUGAGGCCAUAGCUUUGCACACCAGCAUCCCUUGAAAUAAAAACCAAAGGGCAAAGAUCCAGCAGCACCAGCAUGAACCUGAAAAUCCCUGUGCGGGUUCAAGGUAUCCUGCCACGGCGAACUCCAGAGAAGCGGACACGGAGCAAUGGAUCCAAACUACAAGAAAGAAGAUUCCACCUAAACAUUAGGAAGAACUUCCUGACAGUAAGAGCUGUUCGACAGUGGAAUUUGCUGCCAAGGAGUGUGGUGGAGUCUCCUUCUUUGGAGGUCUUAAAGCAGAGGCUCGACAACCAUAUGUCAGGAGUGCUCUGAUGGUGUUUCCUGCUUGGCAGGGGGUUGGACUCGAUGGCCCCUGUGGUCUCUUCCAACUCUGUGAUUCUAUGAUUCUAUGAUUCUACUAUUGCAUACAUUCAGGAAUUGCUACCAUCGCCUGAUAUCUGCCUUCACCACACUUGGUAGGCGUACACAAAGGUAAGGGGACCUCAGGCCGCAGGCAGCCUGGCCUAGUGGGAAGAUUAAUUAAGAGACCCAGCAAGAUCGGAUCUGAUGAAGCAUCACUUGCUACAGAGGAAGUAUUACAAAAUAACUUCCUUCAAGGCAGACAGCUUCUCCAUAGGCAAGUGGUAUGUUUUAGCAACGAUAUCCAACUGGAUCCCUAAAUAAAAUGGGAAUAUGGGCAAAAGGUAUUGAGCUAUUGCUUGCCAGCUUCCAGCCCCCGCUGGGCAGGGGGCAUCUUGUGCUGCCAUCAUGAUAUGUAAAUUUACAGGGCCGAGGCUGGCCAGAACCCUUAAAGAAGUCCCGACAAAGCUGCCGCCGAGCCAGCUUCCUUUUCAGACACACACUCUGUGCAAUGCAAAAACACACUCCAUGCAGUGCACACACACUCCAUGCAAUGCAACUACACACUCCGUGCAAUGCAACUACACACUCCGUGCAAUGCAACUACACACUCCGUGCAAUGCACACACAAACCCUCUGUGCAAUGCAACUACACACUCCGUGCAAUGCACACACAAACCCUCCGUGCAAUGCAACUACACACUCCGUUCAAUGCAAAACACACUCCCUGCAAUGCAACUACACUCCAUGCAAUGCAACUACACUCCAUGCAAUGCAACUACACACUCCGUGCAAUGCAACUACACACUCCAUGCAAUGCAACUACACCCUCCGUUCAAUGCACACACACUCCGUGCAAUGCAAAAAACACACUCUGUGCAAUGCAACUACACCCUCCAUGCAAUGCAUACACACACACUCCGUGCAAUGCAACUACACACUCCGUGCAAUGCACACACACUCCGUGCAAUGCAACCACACCUUCCGUACAAUGCAACAACACACUCCGUGCAAUGCAACUACACCCUCCGUGCAAUGCACACACACCCUCCAUGCAAUGCACACACGCUCCGUGCAAUGCAACUGCAAAUCUCUCAUGCAAUGCAAUGCAUUUGCAGCCCGUGCAGCGCCGUGCCCUGCAACACACAAACUGCAAUGCGGGCACGCAAAGGUGCUUUCUCCCGCUUGCAUAUUGCAAACGUGGCGCCCGUUACAUCCCUCGCAGUGAGGUAACCACCGAAAGGACUUAAGUGUCCAGGUAGAGCAAUGGGGAGCAUGCAGCUGUCCCAUACAGGGACCAAUCCUGCAACCCAGGCAUUACCAGCACUAUGCGCUGACCCAGUGAAACCAAUGCUUCAUGGACCACAUGGGGACACUAUUCAGGCCGGAAACGCUUCCAGGCCAUUGAAUUCUAGGGCAAAGCCCUAGGAUCACCUGCUAGGCCAGGCAUAAAUGUUUCCAGUGAAAUAGCAGAGUUGAGGUAGCCCACAGCUUGUCCAGGUACCCCUGCUUGCCCUUUUAGAGGGAAGCAACCCUUCAAGAAACUCAAAGUUCUUUUAUCACAAAUGGGCCGAACUACCUAGCAACAGAAUAGCCCAAAAGGAGCAGUUUGUUUUGUUUUGUUAUAACAAUGGCUAAGAGGGGGAUAUGAACCCUGUCUCCCAGGUCCUAGUCCUACACUUUAGCCACUAAGCCACAAUGGCUCAUCUCUAAAAUGGCAGUCACCACUAUCAGGGCAAAACAAACUUAAAGAAAAUAAACUUGUUCAGAAACAGCAUAGUUCAAGAGCAUAUACAGAGUGCUCAUAGUCCUUGGAGGCACAGGGAGCCUCUGGGGCCCUCUGUCUGCCUCAGAUAUACAUUAGCAGCAACUGGGCCUGCAAGCAGAUACAUUCCUAUAGCGAGAAUGAGUCACGUGUCAGAGACUUAACAAUUAACUGCUACCUGUAGCAGACUUAGGCUUGGAAGUUAUGUGCAGGCCGAAUAGGCCUCCCUGCUUCUGCUCUUGAGAAUCUUAGUCUCAUAGCAAUAUUAAAGGAACUCAAAUUAGUGCUCCCACCCAAGGCUAGCUUAAAAUUUGGCCAACAGCACUGCACACACUCAAAAUAAAGCCAACCUUCGGGGAUACUAUAAACGAAAGUGAUUCCAGCUAAGCUGGGAACAGCCCUGAUUAGCCCCACAAUUUCAACAAGAGAAAUGGGGCAAACCUUUUUGCGAAAGAAAGCCCCUAACGGGGGUUCUCUCCGUAUUGGGAAAGGCAAGCCACAGUUACAGGGAGAAUCUUCCCACAGGGCAGGGUAAGGGGUGGGGUGGGAAAUUGAAC